UUACACAUGCAAGUCGAACGGCAGCAUGAUCUAGCUUGCUAGAUUGAUGGCGAGUGGCGAACGGGUGAGUAAUACAUCGGAACGUGCCCUGUAGUGGGGGAUAACUAGUCGAAAGAUUAGCUAAUACCGCAUACGACCUGAGGGUGAAAGUGGGGGACCGCAAGGCCUCAUGCUAUAGGAGCGGCCGAUGUCUGAUUAGCUAGUUGGUGGGGUAAAGGCCCACCAAGGCGACGAUCAGUAGCUGGUCUGAGAGGACGAUCAGCCACACUGGGACUGAGACACGGCCCAGACUCCUACGGGAGGCAGCAGUGGGGAAUUUUGGACAAUGGGCGAAAGCCUGAUCCAGCAAUGCCGCGUGUGUGAAGAAGGCCUUCGGGUUGUAAAGCACUUUUGUCCGGAAAGAAAUGGCUCUGGUUAAUACCUGGGGUCGAUGACGGUACCGGAAGAAUAAGGACCGGCUAACUACGUGCCAGCAGCCGCGGUAAUACGUAGGGUCCAAGCGUUAAUCGGAAUUACUGGGCGUAAAGCGUGCGCAGGCGGUUGUGCAAGACCGAUGUGAAAUCCCCGAGCUUAACUUGGGAAUUGCAUUGGUGACUGCACGGCUAGAGUGUGUCAGAGGGGGGUAGAAUUCCACGUGUAGCAGUGAAAUGCGUAGAGAUGUGGAGGAAUACCAAUGGCGAAGGCAGCCCCCUGGGAUAACACUGACGCUCAUGCACGAAAGCGUGGGGAGCAAACAGGAUUAGAUACCCUGGUAGUCCACGCCCUAAACGAUGUCAACUAGUUGUUGGGGAUUCAUUUCCUUAGUAACGUAGCUAACGCGUGAAGUUGACCGCCUGGGGAGUACGGUCGCAAGAUUAAAACUCAAAGGAAUUGACGG
rnacentral:rRNA from 1 species